CAGCAGCCGCGGUAAUACGUAGGGCGCAAGCGUUAUCCGGAAUUAUUGGGCGUAAAGAGCUCGUAGGCGGUUUGUCGCGUCUGCCGUGAAAGUCCGGGGCUCAACCCCGGAUCUGCGGUGGGUACGGGCAGACUAGAGUGAUGUAGGGGAGACUGGAAUUCCUGGUGUAGCGGUGAAAUGCGCAGAUAUCAGGAGGAACACCGAUGGCGAAGGCAGGUCUCUGGGCAUUAACUGACGCUGAGGAGCGAAAGCAUGGGGAGCGAACAGGAUUAGAUACCCCAGUAGUCCCUGUCUCUUAUAA
rnacentral:rRNA from 1 species